rnacentral:lncRNA from 1 species
AUGUUUGGUAGGUUUUUAUGUUACUGUUAAUUUCUCAUGAACUUUUGAUAUUUCAAAUUUUCUUAAACUGUGCAACACAUUUCAAGAACAAGUUGGUGAUUGUCGGUUAGUGUUCUUCUUUUAUAAAGUUUGUUUGUCUAGCCUGCAAAGAAAUUUGUUUUGAAUAAUUGUUACAUAUCUUGUGAAAGAUAGCCAAAAGAUACCAAAUAGUAAUCCAAAUUCAUAAGGCGAUAAAAAAAUGACAACACCAUGACAAAAAAAAAACAAAAAAACGAACAACAGUUUACAAAACACAUAUAGAAAACAAAAGACUAAGCAACUCUCAACCCACCAUAUACGGGAUGUGAUCUUCCGUUCUCCAGGAGGGUGAGUAGAUUCUCCUCCACUUGUAACACCUGUUGGGUUGCUUUUUGAAUAUGUAGAAAAUUUGUAUUUCACACUUUGUUUUAAAUUGAGUUUUUUCAGUAUAAAUAUAAAAAAGAUGUGGUAUGAUUGCCAUUAAGACAACUGUCCAGAAGAGACCAAAAUUAUACGGAAAUUAACAACUAUAGGUCAAUGUACGGCUUUCAACAAUGAGCAAAGCCCAUACUGUAUAGUCAGCUAUAAAAGGCCCCAUAAUGACAAUGUAAAACAAUUCAAACGAGAAAACAAACAGCCUUAUUUAUAUAUAAAAAAAAUGAAUGAAAAACAAAUAUAUAACACAUAAACAAACGACAACCACUGAAUUACAAGCUCCUGACUUGGGACAGGCAGGCACAUACAUACAUAAUGUGGCAGGGUUCAACAUGUAAGCGGGAUCCCAACCCUCCCUUAACCUGUGACAGUGGAAUAACAGUACAACAUAAGAACGAACUAUAAAAAUCAGUUGAAGUCCAUUCUCAAAAAAGUGUGCAAAAUUCACAUGUAUCCAGGUGUAAUGAUAA